ensembl:lncRNA
UUCCUCAAAGCAGAAGAAAUGCAUAAAGCUACUGUUGGCGACUCUGCAAAAAUCCCAUAUUCUCAGCAAAAAGAAAAUUUCCCAUGGUCCAGCAGCUGUUUUUAUAACCUUUUCCCUGGUGUACCAGAAUGCCAAUACACAGGUAGCAAAGGAAAUAUUGUGCUACAGGUUUGACUAUAGCAUGGAAAGCACUUUCUCCAUUUGCUUUUUUGUUUUACUCCUUUUUUCUCAGUUUGCAGACCCUUUGUUGGUUUUCCCCAGGCUGGAUCUGAAGGCAAACUGGAGAGCUGAAGGAAAUUAAAGGACAAGGGGAGGUUUUGCAUUUGGUUCUUUAAUUCCUGGAUGAGAUGUAUCAGGCUGUGGAAAGGAGAAACGAGGAAAAAAAGGAAAAUUCAUUUCGAGAAGAGCUCCGCAGCGAUCGGCUUGGCAGCAGCCGGAGGAAAUGGGCUGGGGAGGCCGGCAGCUGUCAGCCCGCAGCCCCUGCUGCCAAAGCUGGGAUCGGGGGGCUCGCAGCGCUGCCUUCCCUGCCCAAAAAGAGCCCUCAGGGCUGGAUCCUUACCGAGAUGCUCUCAGGCUGCUGGUGGAUCAUGCAUUUAUUUCUCUGCUCGCACAGCGUCCGGCACAGAGUGGUCUGCACCUGUGGAUGUGACAGUAAAAGGAGUGAUAAAUAAUCAGCCAAGGAGGAGCCGGUGCAAUUCAAUCUGUGUGAGUGCAGCUAGCUGGGGAAGGAUGCUCGUGCUGGCUGAGGAUGGCUUUUCGUUCCUCAGUGGGUCCGAGGAUGCAUGCCCAGGCUGAAGCCUUGCAGCACGCAGAGGGCACAGCACGGAGAGCCUCGCUGGCUCUGUUUGUCUCCCUUUGACUUCAAUUUAUCUAAAGGAGAUGAAGGGAACAUAGCUGAGAGAGGGAAGCACAAGGUGUGCCAGAUGCAGCGGGAGAGGGACCAAGUGGCAAGUGGCCUGUCUGUCCUUGGCUGCCCUUCCUUCCUUUCUUCCUUCCUUCCUUCCUUCCUUCCUUCCUUCCUUCCUUCCUUCCUUCCUUCCAUCCAUCCAUCCCACUGCUCACGUUCACUAACACAGAAGAUCCCACCGUCAGUCUCUGAGGUUCAAAACACUUUUACACCUUCUCCUCCUCUUGGGAGGCAAGGAUGAGUUGCUCUUUCCCAAAGACUCAGUGGUGCCAUCACGAGGGACCUCCAAGGCCGCCAUGCCCACCUGUAGCUUCGAGCAGAACCUCACCAGGACCAGCCCUGACAGACAUUGUGGCACCGUGAACCCUCACCCCUCUCUAGUUUGAAGCUUUGCCCGAUAAGUAGCCAGGUUUCCCUGGUGUGACAGAACCCCUUGCGUAGACUCACAGAAUAAUUUAGGUUGGAGAAGACCUCUAAGAUCAUCAAAUCCAACCCUCUGGGGCAUGGGGAACAGACCGUCCAGGCAGCCAGGAGGUGGCCCCAGUGUAGGGACCAGUGGAUGUGACGAGAGAGCACCUGGUGCCUGUCCUGGGCUUUGGAGCACGGCACGGCUUAGCUCUGUAGGUCACCUGCUCCAUAACUCAUGCGAGCCAUUUCUUCCCACAAACAAGGGCAAGCUGAAGAAUUUGGCUGGCCAGAUCCCAUUCUUAUUUUUUAUUUCUGGUCCUUUUGCAGAAAUAACAGCAUCACAAUUCCUUCGCCUUGCCCUCUCCCGUGCUGUACCGGUAGCUGCGCUGAAGCUGAUUGAUUAGUUUAAUAACAGGCAGUUGAUAUGCAGCCAUAAAAUUAUGCUCUUUUACUCAUCAGCCUGAUUGAACUCCUCUGCUGACUGUACAGGAGCAGCAUGGCAAAGCCGUAAUAAUGAGGGAAAGAGCCAAGGGAAAAGCCAGCCCGCUGGUGUUAUUGUUGUUGUUCUAAAGCUGAGGAAGAAAAUGACUCCGGGGAGGAGCUUUUCCAAAAUAAAUACCAAAAUAGAGAGGGAAGAUGUUAGGAUGUAAUUAGCCCUGGUAUAAAUGCCGCUAAAUGGCUGCUGGGCUUGGAGGUGUCAGCAGAGCUUCUCUUACACCCACCUGGUCUACGUUGGGGUUUCAGGAGGCUGGGGGCCGUGCAGGGCUGGCCCCCGGGUCCUCAAAAAGGGUGAGAGGGGCUGAGCCCUUCACGAGAUCUGAUGGGGAGAAGAUGGGAAUUCAGCUUCAUUGCGGCCAAGAAGGGGAGGAUAACAGGAUGGAGCUGGGAAAAACACAUCUGGAAAGUGUUUGUCCCCUCUGAGCCUGUGCUAACGGCAUAAGUGGAGAGAAGAGAGUGUGAUGGAGGGGGAGAAAGCACCAGGGCUGUGGCAGCCUGGCGAGGAGGAGACUCCCCCAUGGGCAGCACUGCAGGGCUGUCGGUGAUGCCCUUACACAGCUCUGCUUUCCUUGGUCUGGGUACCAGUGGGAGUCAGACUCCAUCCUCCAUGGGGUCAAUCACUCUCUCCAAAGCCACCAAAGGGAAUCGAAGGUUCCUGUUCAGCCGUGAAUCAACAUGCAGGAGCGGGCAGCAGGGCAAGGCUCGC